ACGCUGGCGGCGUGCCUAAUACAUGCAAGUAGAACGCUGAAGGAGGAGCUUGCUUCUCCGGAUGAGUUGCGAACGGGUGAGUAACGCGUAGGUAACCUGCCUGGUAGCGGGGGAUAACUAUUGGAAACGAUAGCUAAUACCGCAUAAGAGUAGAUGUCGCAUGACAUUUGCUUAAAAGGUGCAAUUGCACCACUACCAGAUGGACCUGCGUUGUAUUAGCUAGUUGGUGGGGUAACGGCUCACCAAGGCGACGAUACAUAGCCGACCUGAGAGGGUGAUCGGCCACACUGGGACUGAGACACGGCCCAGACUCCUACGGGAGGCAGCAGUAGGGAAUCUUCGGCGAUGGACGGAAGUCUGACCGAGCAACGCCGCGUGAGUGAAGAAGGUUUUCGGAUCGUAAAGCUCUGUUGUAAGAGAAGAACGAGUGUGAGAGUGGAAAGUUCACACUGUGACGGUAUCUUACCAGAAAGGGACGGCUAACUACGUGCCAGCAGCCGCGGUAAUACGUAGGUCCCGAGCGUUGUCCGGAUUUAUUGGGCGUAAAGCGAGCGCAGGCGGUUAGAUAAGUCUGAAGUUAAAGGCUGUGGCUUAACCAUAGUACGCUUUGGAAACUGUUUAACUUGAGUGCAAGAGGGGAGAGUGGAAUUCCAUGUGUAGCGGUGAAAUGCGUAGAUAUAUGGAGGAACACCGGUGGCGAAAGCGGCUCUCUGGCUUGUAACUGACGCUGAGGCUCGAAAGCGUGGGGAGCAAACAGGAUUAGAUACCCCUGGUAGUCCACGCCGUAAACGAUGAGUGCUAGGUGUUAGACCCUUUCCGGGGUUUAGUGCCGCAGCUAACGCAUUAAGCACUCCGCCUGGGGAGUACGACCGCAAGGUUGAAACUCAAAGGAAUUGACG
rnacentral:rRNA from 1 species